AUUUUAUUUGUCUUGGACCAGCGUAUCCUUUUGGGGGGAGGUGGGGAGACCUACGAAUAUUUGAGGAAGAAGCAGCUACCAUAUUUUUCAUUCUCGCGCCAAGAAUAAGGGCUCUGGAAUUUGGACAGUCGAUUGGCAUUUGCAGAUUCAAACUGAGGAGAAGAACACUAGCGCAAGAACAUGAGUUCCGCGACACAAGGUGAACAUUCUCGAUCUUCUGAAAUUUUCUGUUCUUGUUUGUAGCAGUCGCCGAUUUAUUUUUGAUUGAAUUUCUGAGACUUGUAUUGUUUGACACGAUUAUGUUGGUAUAUAUUAUUUGCAUUCCCAUAGAUGUUGAUGGUUGCAUCUAAUGCGCCACAAAUAGAGCGCAUCUCGGCGAAUUUUUUUCAAUUUUCAUAAAAUAUGUUGGAUUUAUGGAAUAUAUGUCUCAAGCUUGUGUAUUACUUGUCGCUGCAUACUCAAAUAUUUUUCUAUGGAUAGUUGUAAUUAAUCAAUAAUUCAUUGGGAUUAGGUUUUGUGCAAAUAUCUUAUGAAUAUUUUCUGUAAAAUAUAAUGAGCCUCCUUGACAGCCUCUUGCUCUCUUGAUAACUCAUAUAAUUUGUGUACUUCUUGUUGGGGUUGAUGGUUUGCAGAUGGGAGCAACGGGUUUGUUCGUGGGGGUCGGGUAAACAAGACCGACAAGACUCGACGCAGUUGGUCUACUCAAGAGGAGGCAGUGCUGCUAGCUGCGUUGAAAGAAUUGGUGGUGCAAGGAUGGAAAUCCGACAACGGAUUUCGGCCAGGUUAUUUGACUAAGUUGGAGGAGGCUAUGAAAAAGGUAUUCCCAACCACUGACUUGAAAGGGAUGCCACAUAUAAACUCAAAAACCACGACAUGGAAGAAGCAAUACUAUUCGCUAACGCAAAUAUUGGGGAAUACUGGGGUGGGCUUCAAUGUGAAUGGCAUGCAUAUGGUGGAUUGUAAUGACGAGCAAUGGGAGCAAAUCAUCAAGGUUAGUAGGUGUUCAUAUUGUAAUAUUAAAUUCAGGCUGUACAAGUUUUCUAAUAUGUCUAAAUGAACUACAGAAAGAUACAAACGCACGCACAAUGCGUUACAAAAGUUGGCCCUACCUGGAACAGUGGGCUGAAAUAUUUGGGAAGGAUAGGGCGACGGGAGAUGUGGCUGAAGAUCUUAUGGAGGCCGCACAUGACAUGUAUCGCAAGAUUGAUCUUAGCGAACCACAAAAUGAUGGUGACUAUCAUGUAUCCCUCGAUGACAUGUUCGAGAAGACCGCAACCAAUGACAGUGUCAGCCAAACACAAGAAACCGAGUCUGAAGUUCGUGUCAAGCGGAAGAAGAGAAAGCAAGGCGACGAGUUCGAACAAAUGUUUCAGGUGUUGGCAGAUAUCCAACGCACAACCGGACAGCGACUUGUCACAAUAUCAAGUAGAAUGGGCUACGACUUCGACGUAUCCAAAGCGAGAAAGGAGGUCUUCGCACAACUAAGCUCAAUUCUGGGUUUAUCCCUCAAAGCGAAGUUCGAAGUCGCCAAUUUACUUGCAAAAGAGGUGGAGAUGCUCGAUGUAUUUACUAGCCUGCCCGAAGAAGCCAAGAAUGAGUAUGUCAACUUCCUACUCGAGGAGAAAUAUAAAUAGGAUUGCUUCGCUGCACCAUAGGAUCUUGGGUGUUUUUUGGUUUCAAAUUUUAUUUGCUAACAACUCCUUCAUUUCUGGAAUUAUGUUAGACCAGUAGAACUGCUGUUUCUUUUUAUUUUUGGUGUCUUGGAGCUUAGUUCAGACAUAUCUUAUCAAGUGGCUGUAUUUUGGAGUCUUGCAGAAGCCACUUGUCUUAAAUUAUGCAGUUGAAGCUCGACAGAACUUAUUUGACAUUUUAUGUUGCUUUCAAAUUUGAAUAUGUUGGUAUGUCUGUUUCAGAUUUGCUUAUGUUUUAUCUUGCGGUGGAUUACAAAGGCUUUUGUAUAAUUUAAAUUGUAGUUUCAAUAGGGAUUUAUUUAAAUUGCAUAUGAAUCGAAAAUUGCUAAUUCAGAUAAGUUCAAACACAGCUCCCACAGUAAGCACAAAUUCAUCAUAACUAGAAAUCAUGAGAAAACCAACAAACACAAUAGACAAUAACAAAGCUGCCUUCAUCUACGAGGCACCAAAAUAAGAGAAACAACGGUAGACACUGGACCUAACAGCGUGCAUCGACGCUAACAAAAUGGGAGGGAAUAAAAUGCGGUCCACAAAAGAGAGUAAGCUCCGCUUACAAAUUUAUUUAAAUGGAGAAGACGAAGCACAUGAGCUCCCGCCAUAACCGACGUCAUCUUUCUUACCAUCAUUCGGUUUCACGGGAAAGGCGUUCUUUGGAGGAAAGGAGGACGUCGUUUGUUUUGAAAAUUUGUUCUUGAUGGUAGACCAUGGGACGUAGACAUGACCCUUAUGCGAUUUGGGAAACGAGGGAGACACACUCGAACAUGCAUCAUCUGGCUGAACUACCAAGGCACACAGUGGUUGGGUUUUAGUAGACGGGGAGUUCACUUCGUCCUCCGAUGAAGUGUCGGUGAAGCUUUCAAAUGGAGGACUCUUUUCACCUUUUGACGAGUCCUCUAUCACUAUCACAGUGUGUGAGAUCUCGGGCUUCACAUCGUACAUUCCGAAGAGGGAGCACAAUUUUAGGUACUCGGGCUCACCCUUAUGGUAGUAAGCUUUGUAGAACUCAUUUUCCUACAACCGAUAGUGACUUGUAUUAGAAAGACUAGCACACAACAGAUUUAAAUGAUUUAGAACAGCAAAAACAAUAGUUAUAAAGCAUCUCACCUUGAAGAGUUGCUCCCACACUUCAUCGCUUGCAUGAAGAACAUUUGUCGACGCGUCCCGAUCGGUCUCCGGGAUAUUGCAAAGAUACUUGAAACNAGCUCUGGAAAAGUCAGCUCUGCCUUUGGUCAGCUCUGGCGAUUUUAGCUCUGGAAGUCGGCUCUGGCUCCGAAGUCAGCUCUGGUGACUUAGCUCUGGAACGUCAGCUCUGGCUUCUAAAGUCAGCUCUGGCAUGUUGGCUCUGGAAAGUCAGCUCUGGCCUCCGAAAGUCAGCUCUGGCGAUUUGCUCGGGAAAGUCAGCUCUGGCCUUCGAAAGUCAGCUCUGCUCUGGCGGUUUCCAGCUCUGCUCUGGAACUUCCAGCUCUGCUCUGGUGUUUCCAGCUCUGCUCUGGAAUUUCCAGCUCUGCUCUGGAACUUCCAGCUCUGCUCUGGCAUUUUCUAGCUCUGCUCUGGCAUUUCCAGUUCUGCUCUGGCAUUUCCAACUCUGCUCUGGCAUUUUCUACUCUGCUCUGGCAUUUUCUAGCUCUGCUCUGGCAUUUUCUGUUCUGCUCUGGUAUUUUCUGGGCAGAACGACGAGGGUUUCCAGUUUCCAAAACUAGGGUUCUUUGUCCUUUCUUGCCUCGAUUCUCACUCGUACGUCGGCCCUAAUCUAUUCCUAUGUGAGCAUGCUGUGCUUGUUCAAGUUCAUCUACGUUUAAAGCCUAAAGUUCUCGUCGUUUAAUCAAGGUUUCAAGCCGUGGGUUCUACCGAAAAAGUGACUUAACAUGCUUCUUGUGUUCGUGCGUAUCUAGAGCCUAAAACAUGCUUUCUACGAGCGUGUGAUUCAUGCUGAAAGGAGAGGUCGAGAGUUACCUUGAUGUCGCGCGCUUUGGUCGGACAAGCACGAUGGUUCCUCGCUUCUCCGAUCGUCGAGGUUCAAGGUGUCGAGAGAGUGAUGGAACUCUUGCUGUUGCUGCUGGAUUUCAGAGUGCCGAAGGAAGAGGAAGGGUCACACAAAGGGGUUGAAGGGGAGUUUAAAUAGGGUGUUCGGCUGAUGCACUUGAGUGCCUAAGGGGAGAGCUUCGGCUGUAGCUCUGCACAGCGUGGAAGAGGGGUGCAGCAGGCGUGCUAAGCUCUGCUGUGGUGUUGCGUGGGGAGGGCUGCUGCUGCUCUGCCGGCGUGGAGAUGGAGUGUGGCCUUUCGGCUGCUCGUCCAAUGGAGGCUGCUGCCGUGGCUGCUCUGGUCUGGCGUGGAGUGUGGCGUGGCGUGGAAGAGGGGUGCAGCAGGCGGCCCUUCGGCUGCCCAGCCAAUGGGGGCUGCUGCCGCACCUUUUCCUACUUUUCCUUUUCUCCAUUUUUCCUUCUUUUCUUAACUUGUAGCGUUGGCAAGUGUUGGGAUUGGGUGGCGUGAGUGGUGAAGUGAUCUAAGAGAAGAUCUAAAUAAAAUCCUUCAGUGUCGGUCAUUCUCAGUAUUAAAAAUACUGGUUUCGUGCUUGCUAACAUCGAUAAAUGCUAAAUUAAAUCCAUAGACUCAAUCCGUUCGUCAUUCUAAUACUUAAAUUAAAUCCGUAGAUUUAAUUAGCUUCAAAGUCGGAAAUAAUUCACGACUUAAGUAACAAUGUGAAAUAAACUCUAUCUUGAUAAAUAACCCAACUUAGCUAAGUUGGUUAUAACUUUGAAGAAUAAUAAUUCAUCGACUCAAGGAUUCUCAUCGCGGUCUUAAACACGCGAAGCUAAAUAAAUGCAUACUUGCUAGUGUAGUGACUCUGUCUCCAAAAUACGAAAUUCAUAAACAUAGAUGAAAACAUGAAACGCUUCAAUUACUGGCAGAUAGAAAAAUAAACAUGCAAAAACUGAAAUUAAAUGAUGAUAAAAGAGCGGGUUGCUACAACUGAACAUCGGGCGGAAGCUUACAUCAGAACAUACGAGGCAAAUCAUUAUAAUUCGGCUCAAAGGUAUAUACGUCAACAUCGUUAUAACUUCUUGAAUAUUAGAAAUUUCAAGAAGAAAAGCAAAGUAGGUACAGCUUAUUUUCCAUAAGGAAACAUAAUAUCAAGAGUACCACAGCAAAAGGCGUAACAAUUAUAUGUAUGAAGACAUAUAACCGCGAGUAUAUUGCUUGAUUAGAAAGGAAUAAGACAUCAUCUCACUAAGGUUUUAUCAACAUCAGAAGGAAAGCAAAGUACAUCAUCCUUAAGACUCUAACAUCAAAGGAAAAACAAUAUAGAAACUUCAUCAAUGAAACCAUCCCCACCAGCACCAGUCCAAUCUUGCUCCAUUGCUUAGCCUGCACAUUUAGGCUAUGUUUGGUGUCUGGUAAUGGAUUAGGCAAUAUAGUUUAUUUUCGGCUACCUAAUCUUGAUUACAAUGAUAUUAGUAUGCUUUGUUGUUGUUUGAUUAUUUAAAUAGUUACAUAACAAUCUAUUUUGGUUGGUUUGGUGAGCAGUAAUAAUAGCACGAUUAAAGCUGAAUAGAUGAUAAAAUGACUAAUAUACCCACCCAUUUUAUUUGUCUUGGACCAGCGUAUCCUUUUGGGGGGAGGUGGGGAGACCUACGAAUAUUUGAGGAAGAAGCAGCUACCAUAUUUUUCAUUCUCGCGCCAAGAAUAAGGGCUCUGGAAUUUGGUACAGUCGAUUGGCAUUUGCAGAUUCAACUGAGGAGAAGAACACUAGCGCAAGAACAUGAGUUCCGCGACACAAGGUGAACAUUCUCGAUCUUCUGAAAUUUUCUGUUCUUGUUUGUAGCAGUCGCCGAUUUAUUUUUGAUUGAAUUUCUGAGACUUGUAUUGUUUGACACGAUUAUGUUGGUAUAUAUUAUUUGCAUUCCCAUAGAUGUUGAUGGUUGCAUCUAAUGCGCCACAAAUAGAGCGCAUCUCGGCGAAUUUUUUUCGAUUUUCAUAAAAUAUGUUGGAUUUAUGGAAUAUAUGUCUCAAGCUUGUGUAUUACUUGUCGCUGCAUACUCAAAUAUUUUUCUAUGGAUAGUUGUAAUUAAUCUAAUAAUUCAUUGGGAUUAGGUAUUGUGCAAAUAUCUUAUGAAUAUUUUCUAGUAAAAUAUAAUGAGCCUCCUUGACAGCCUCUUGCUCUCUUGAUAACUCAUAUAAUUUGUGUACUUCUUGUUGGGGGUUGAUGGUUUGCUAGAUUGGGGAGCUAACGGGUUUGUUCGUGGGGGGCCGGGUAAACAAGACCGACAAGACUCGACGCAGUUGGUCUACUCAAGAGGAGGCAGUGCUGCUAGCGGCGUUGAAAGAAUUGGUGGUGCAAGGAUGGAAAUCCGACAACGGAUUUCGGCCAGGUUAUUUGACUAAGUUGGAGGAGGCUAUGAAAAAGGUAUUCCCAACCACUGACUUGAAAGGGAUGCCACAUAUAAACUCAAAAACCACGACAUGGAAGAAGCAAUACUAUUCGCUAACGCAAAUAUUGGGGAAUACUGGGGUGGGCUUCAAUGUGAAUGGCAUGCAUAUGGUGGAUUGUAAUGACGAGCAAUGGGAGCAAAUCAUCAAGGUUAGUAGGUGUUCAUAUUGUAAUAUUAAAUUCAGGCUGUACAAGUUUUCUAAUAUGUCUAAACGAACUACAGAAAGAUACAAACGCACGCACAAUGCGUUACAAAAGUUGGCCCUACCUGGAACAGUGGGCUGAAAUAUUUGGGAAGGAUAGGGCGACGGGAGAUGUGGCUGAAGAUCUUAUGGAGGCCGCACAUGACAUGUAUCGCAAGAUUGAUCUUAGCGAACCACAAAAUGAUGGUGACUAUCAUGUAUCCCUCGAUGACAUGUUCGAGAAGACCGCAACCAAUGACAGUGUCAGCCAAACACAAGAAACCGAGUCUGAAGUUCGUGUCAAGCGGAAGAAGAGAAAGCAAGGCGACGAGUUCGAACAAAUGUUUCAGGUGUUGGCAGAUAUCCAACGCACAACCGGACAGCGACUUGACACAAUAUCAAGUAGAAUGGGCUACGACUUCGACGUAUCCAAAGCGAGAAAGGAGGUCUUCGCACAACUAAGCUCAAUUCCGGGUUUAUCCCUCAAAGCGAAGUUCGAAGUCGCCAAUUUACUUGCAAAAGAGGUGGAGAUGCUCGAUGUAUUUACUAGCCUGCCCGAAGAAGCCAAGAAUGAGUAUGUCAACUUCCUACUCGAGGAGAAAUAUAAAUAGGAUUGCUUCGCUGCACCAUAGGAUGUUGGGUGUUUUUUGGUUUCAAAUUUCAUUUGCUAACAACUCCUUCAUUUCUGGAAUUAUGUUAGACCAGUAGAACUGCUGUUUCUUUUUAUUUUUUGGUGUCUUGGAGCUUAGUUCAGACAUAUCUUAUCAAGUGGCUGUAUUCUCGGAGGCACACAACAGAUUCAUAUGACCAUUUCCACAGCUGCAUAGAGGGGUAGGUGUUGAUGUCUCAGACGCGGCGUCCAUCCUACAACACCAAUGUAUAGUAUUUUAGUAUUUUGACAUGAGUAGCAUAGAAAUUGAUAGAAAACUUAUAUGGCCAUGACAAGCAGCAUCGCAGCAAGAUCAGAUAAAUAUUAACAAGGGAAUUAGCAAGAGACCACUAGAGACUACUAUAUUCAUUGUAAAAAUCAACAAGAUUUUAAAUUUUAUUCACAUCAAUAUCAUCAACAGCUGAGAUAAGGAUUUCUUAUGAAUUAAAAAAUUAUUACAAUUGUCGAAAUCGAACACAAUUAAAUGGAAUUUUAUCAUGUAAACCCAACAUCAUCAAAAUCACAGCUGAACACAAGCAAAUUAGAGAUAGAUGUCACCAAGAACUUGCUGCAACAGUUUAAAGACGAAUUAACAUGCAACAUUCUAAAGAGAACACCUUAAAUGAAUGUAAAAAUUAUUGCAAUCGUCACCUAAUGAUUAUUCAAGUAUUGAAGCCACAUCCCCUCCGCCAAUUCAUCCCUUGCGGCAUUCCAUUGGGGAGAAGACUCGACCGUGGCAAUGAACUCGUCAUGAUCGGCUUCAAGGCCAUGAGCAUUACUAUUUGCCAUCGCAUCAAAUUCCUCUUCUAUUGGAUCGACCGGCAUUUGCAUUCGAAUAAAAUUAUGAAGUAAAAAUGUUGCCAUUAUUAACCUAUUUUGGACCUUAAUUGGGUAGAACGUGGUGGACCGUAGAAUACCCCACGCAUUUUCAUAAUUCCAAAUGCUCUCUCAAUCACAUUCCUCGCCUUACUAUGCCUCAGGUUAAAUAACUCCUCCUUGUUUUGGGCCUGGCAGCAGUGGGACCCCACUCCUUCAGGUGGUAUCUAACGCCCUUGUAAGGCGUUAGAAAACCAUCACUAUUUGCGUAACCGUUGUCACACAAAUAGUAAUUUCCUGUUGAAGCCCCAACAAACCAAAACAAAAGAGUAAUUUAGGUAAACUUUGAUAAAUAAUCCACGUAAACACAAACGCUAUUCGAAUUAAAGAGCAAAUAAUUGGCAUUACCCUUUGGCACUUUAAGACCGUGGGGUCUACUUAUGGCAUCCCUUAAUAUCCUAGAAUCUGCAGCAGAGCCUUCCCAACCGGAAAGAACGUAGACAAACUUCAAGUUUCGGUCACAUACACCUAACACAUUCUUGGAUAUCUGUCCUUUCCUUGUCCUAUAGCGUGCUUGGUCGUUAGUGCUCACCAUCACAUUAACAUAGGUGCCGUCUAUAGCUCCUAGACAACCCUAAGUUGAAGAGAGACAUUUAAAAACGAGUUAGUGCUAAUAAAAUUUAUGAUCAUACUUACUAGAAUAACUACAAGGCUGCCCUACAUACCUUAAACCACUGCCACCGGCCAUCUGUACAGUCAUUGGACACAGCUUCCGGUUUUGAUAAAAAAAUUUCGUGUAUCUUCAAUAUUGCUCCUAACACGGCAUGUACGUAGCGCGAUAUGGUUUGCCCAGAAACGACAAAAAUCAAAUCUUACAACUCUAUUUUUCUUUGUGAUGUGCUAAGACAGACAAGAAAAUGGCUACUUGUUCCUCCACACUCACGUAAUCACCAUCAACUAAGCCUCCCAAACCCCGUAAAAUGGUGCACAACCGCCCGAAGGUAUUACGAUCCAUUCGCAAGUUCGCGAUGCAAUCGACAUCAUUGACACUUAUCAGCCUACUUAAAUAUUUUAUUUGGUCCGGCAUUCUACUUAUCAUCCCAUAUUUUCGUGAUCCAAACCCACGUUUUCUUUUUCUUGAGCUAGACUUGAUAAAAUAUGUAAUUACUAUAACCAACUGCAUUAUAUGCUGAAGCAUUAUUUCUUGCAAUAGCAAGAACAAGAUAUCGGACAUACGGGGACGUACACGGCCAGACAUCUAAAAUAGAAACAAUAAGAGAUAAUUAUAACUUAUAUUCACUGCAUUUCACCACCAUGGCAGAUUUAUUUAAAUUAAUUUCAGUUUGAGCAAGUGAUGGCAGAAACAAAACGAACCAUGAACAUAUCAUCAAUCAAAAUGUAACUGCAACAAGUGUCGUACACCAAGAGACAAUUAUAACUUAUAUUAAUUGCAUUACCAGGCACUAUGUCAGAUUUAUGCCAACAAGCCAUUCAACAACCAAUCAAUAAUUCAUCACCACAUUAAAACUGUACUACCGAGAAAAAAUCCCAAUAAGCAAAUAUUUUCUCAUAAAAAAAAAGAAUAUGUCAUGCAUAUCAGGAAGAGAUACUAUUCAGCCACAAUAGGCACUCCGUUAAUUCUUUCAGAAAUCAUAUUAUGUUAUUGUUUAUACAUGCAUCGAUCGUCAAUUUGAUAGUUUAAAAGACAUAUACAACGAGUGUGAUUUAUAUAUAUCCCUAGAGAUAACAAGCAAUCGGACAAGCACUAACCUUGGUCUGUUCACAAAGCCUUCGACGUGGAGACUGAGGCUGCUUUCCGAUGAGCGUAGCGACCAGAAAUACGGACAAGAAAUCCCAAAGUGUUUUGGC
rnacentral:lncRNA from 1 species